AAGAAAGUAAAGAAAUAAAAACAAAACAAAAGAAACAGAAUAGAAAGAACAAAGAAACAGAGAAGCAAACGAAACAGGGGAAGAAAGAAGAAAAAAGAAAGAAAAAGGGGAAAAUAGAUUUUUAAAGCUUGGAGUUAAUUUGGUAAGUCAAUUAAGCCCUUUUUAUUUAGUUUUGAUGAUUUAGAAGUUUUAAAACAAAGUUUUGAUGAAAUUAAGUUGAUAUUUUGGAAGUUUAUAGUUUUUUUUAAGCAUGAUUCAUGUUGAAUAAAUUGUUGAAUUAGGGAUUUAAUUGAAUAAAUUUCAAGUUAGAAUUGAUAAAAGGAUUAAAUUAUAAAAGAAACUAUAAGUUUUAUGUGUUAGUGACUAAAUUGGGGAAAAUUCGAAAUUAGGAAAAUAUGCUGAAAUUUUAAUAGUUAAAUUUAAGUUUGGAUGAAAUUUGAAUAGAAAUAGAGUGUGAACUGAAUUAGGAAAGUAAGUGAAUUUAGUUAGGAUUAAAUUGAGAAUAAUGAAGAAAUUGAAUAGAAAUUUAAUUAUUUAUCAUAAUUAGUGUUGAAAUUAAUAGUAUAAAUUAUUAUUAUUUUCGUAGCUAACAAAUAACCCGAGGCAUCGGCAUCUAAAGGAAAAGGGAUAGCUAUCGAGGACUAAAGCGGGAGAUUUACGGUUUGUAUUACUAUAAUUCAAGUUAUUUAUUAUUAAAUGCUAAAUUUUAAUUUAUGUGUCUAGUAAAUGAAAUGUGAGGUAAGUAUUAAUAUUAGUAUUAUUAUUAUUAUUAUUAUUAUUAUUAUUAUUAUUAUUAGUGAGAAUUAAAUUGAAUAGUUGAUAUAAAUUAAUAUUUGAAUUGUUUGUUGAUUGAAAGCGGGAAAUGAAUUUGAAUCGAAUUGUGAAUGGUAUUAAAUUGUAUGGAAAUGUAUUGAGUUGUGAAAAUGUGUGAAUUUGUGAAAUAAUUAUUGAUUGAAAGGUGGCAAAAUGAUUGAAUUGAAAAUGUGAGAAAUUGUGAUUGAAUUGAGAAUAUAUGUGAUUUAAAUACCCUAUUAACUAGUCGGGUUGAGUCGGAUAUAGUUGGCAUGCCAUAGGAUUGGAAGAGUUCAGGGAUACUUCGACCUCGAGUCGAUGAGACACUGGGUGUCACAAUAUUUCUUCGGAUAGAUUCGAUGAGGUACUGGGUACCAACUUUCUUCGGCUUGGCCGAUAAGACACUGGGUGUCAACUAUUGCUUCGAACUAUCCGAUGAGGCACUGGGUGCCAUUCUGGUGUGUUUGGUUGGAUCCGUGUAUCCGCCAAAGUCCGAGUUUUGUUAAUAGGGUAAAUGAUUAAAUGAUAAACCGAACGAGUUGGUCAAACGAGCUAUUGAAAUGAUAUGAAAAAGUUGAAUUGUGAAUUGAAAUGUGAAAUGAGAUUGAGAAAUGAACCUAAGGUUCAUGAUUUGUUCAAACUCAAAUUGUGGAUAUAUGAUAUUGGUUGAUUUGAUUUUAUUUGAAAAUGUUAUGAUUUUAAAUUGCAGGGGGUUUGAUGUAAAAAUAAGCAGAAAUGCUGCCGAAAUUUUUCUAAAAAUGAAUGAAAUCAAUUACUAAAAUUUUAUAACAAUUUAUGAAUUAUUUUAAUAGGAUGGUUAUUUAUUUAAGAAUUAUUUGUAAAUUGCUUGGUAUGUCCGGUAAUGUCUCGUAAUCCUGUUCCGGCGACGGUUUGGGGUUAGGGGGUGUUACAGAUAAUCCGAUCAACUUGGAUUUAAGUUAUGUUCUUUUACUCAUCGAUGGUUAUUGAUACACUGUACCGGCUAUCGAAUCGUCACUUGGAGCUCGUUAGCCAAAUUUUUUUUUUUAAUAACCCAACAACUUAAAUACUUUUUUUCAUAGUUCAAUGACUUAAAUAAAAACUUUAGGUUAGUUCAGUGACCCUUUUUUAACUUUUUGAAUUAGCUAAAUGACCGAAACGUAAACUUAUUAAUAAUUUAAUCACCUUAAGCAUAGUUUAUCUUAAAUUUUAUGAUUUUAUUAUUUCUUAAUAUAUUUAUGAUAAUGGACUGAUUUUGGAGGUUUUGUUUAGUGGUAAGUAAAGUAAUGCGCUUAAUUGACAUAUUUUUAUUGUUUAUUUUAAUUAACAUUAUACAUGUGUUCUAUUGAUUUUGACAUUUAGAAUUUAGAAUUUAGAAUUAUUUAUUUUUAUUACAUUUAUUUGGGAAGAUGUAUUUUUAAGAAAUUAAUUAAGAUUAGAUUAGAUUAGAUUCAUCUUUAAUAACAAGUGAAAAGUUUUUUCUUUACCUUUAUUUAUUUUAUCCUUGCGUAUAUUUUGAGGUUUUUCUUUUUUAGCAAAAGAGGUGUCAAGGGUAAGUCAGAUAAUUUUUUUGGGAGGAUCGAAAUUAAAUUAUAUCUUUUUAUGAUAAUAAAAUGGUAAUUUUAUUAUUUUAAUAGUCUAUAUUUUUAUAAUUUUUAAAAAUUUAAAUCAAAUUUUUAUUAUUUUUAAAAACUAAAGUACAAUUUUAUUAUUAUUUAAAAUUUUAUCAAUUAUAAAUAUCUAAAUACAGCCUUGCCAACCCUUAAUUCCAGUCCUCGGAGGUGCUAAACUCCUUCACUCUCUAGGAUUUAGGUUUUACUAUGAUUAUUUAUUAUAAGAUAUAGGUAGACAUUAGGUGAAUGAACAGGAAGGCCUGAGCUACCAAACAUUUAUUCUUGUUUUAUUUUUAUUUUCUUUUAAAUAAAAUUUGCCUUUUAAUUAUUUUUUUUUAUUAUGAGUCACUAGAUUUAGCGUCGAUAAUUAAUUCAAUGCUUUAACCAUGAUGUAGUGACCCAUUUUUGCCUGGGGCCCAUGUGACCCAAACCCAACCAACCCAAAAAUAAUAAACAGUCCAAAUACAUAGGCCCAAGUGGCCCAACCAAAUUUAACCCCAAUUAGCCCAAAACCCCUAGCCCAAGCCUAACCUAAAUCCAAUUA
rnacentral:lncRNA from 1 species